rnacentral:rRNA from 1 species
GACGAACGCUGGCGGCGUGCUUAACACAUGCAAGUCGAGCGAUGAGGUCUCUUCGGGGACGGAUUAGCGGCGGACGGGUGAGUAACACGUGGGUAACCUGCCUCAUAGAGGGGAAUAGCCUUCCGAAAGGAAGAUUAAUACCGCAUAAGAUUGUAGUUUCGCAUGAAACAGCAAUUAAAGGAGUAAUCCGCUAUGAGAUGGACCCGCGUCGCAUUAGCUAGUUGGUGAGGUAACGGCUGACCAAGGCGACGAUGCGUAGCCGACCUGAGAGGGUGAUCGGCCACAUUGGGACUGAGAGACGGCCCAGACUCCUACGGGAGGCAGCAGUGGGGAAUAUUGCACAAUGGGGGAAACCCUGAUGCAGCAACGCCGCGUGAGUGAUGACGGUCUUCGGAUUGUAAAACUCUGUCUUUGGGGACGAUAAUGACGGUACCCAAGGAGGAAGCUACGGCUAACUACGUGCCAGCCGCCGCGGUAA